UGCAAGUCGAACGAUGAAGAGAGCUUGCUCUUGGAUUAGUGGCGAACGGGUGAGUAACACGUGAGUAACCUGCCCUUGACUCUGGGAUAAGCACUGGAAACGGUGUCUAAUACCGGAUACGAGCUUCAGCCGCAUGGCUAGGAGCUGGAAAGAAUUUCGGUCAAGGAUGGACUCGCGGCCUAUCAGCUAGUUGGUGAGGUAAUGGCCCACCAAGGCGACGACGGGUAGCCGGCCUGAGAGGGUGACCGGCCACACUGGGACUGAGACACGGCCCAGACUCCUACGGGAGGCAGCAGUGGGGAAUAUUGCACAAUGGGCGAAAGCCUGAUGCAGCAACGCCGCGUGAGGGACGACGGCCUUCGGGUUGUAAACCUCUUUUAGUAGGGAAGAAGCGAAAGUGACGGUACCUGCAGAAAAAGCACCGGCUAACUACGUGCCAGCAGCCGCGGUAAUACGUAGGGUGCAAGCGUUGUCCGGAAUUAUUGGGCGUAAAGAGCUCGUAGGCGGUUUGUCGCGUCUGCUGUGAAAACCCGAGGCUCAACCUCGGGCCUGCAGUGGGUACGGGCAGACUAGAGUGCGGUAGGGGAGAUUGGAAUUCCUGGUGUAGCGGUGGAAUGCGCAGAUAUCAGGAGGAACACCGAUGGCGAAGGCAGAUCUCUGGGCCGUAACUGACGCUGAGGAGCGAAAGCAUGGGGAGCGAACAGGAUUAGAUACCCUGGUAGUCCAUGCCGUAAACGUUGGGAACUAGAUGUAGGGGCCAUUCCACGGUUUCUGUGUCGCAGCUAACGCAUUAAGUUCCCCGCCUGGGGAGUACGGCCGCAAGGCUAAAACUCAAAGGAAUUGACGGGGGCCCGCACAAGCGGCGGAGCAUGCGGAUUAAUUCGAUGCAACGCGAAGAACCUUACCAAGACUUGACAUAUACGAGAACGGGCCAGAAAUGGUCAACUCUUUGGACACUCGUAAACAGGUGGUGCAUGGUUGUCGUCAGCUCGUGUCGUGAGAUGUUGGGUUAAGUCCCGCAACGAGCGCAACCCUCGUUCUAUGUUGCCAGCACGUAAUGGUGGGAACUCAUAGGAGACUGCCGGGGUCAACUCGGAGGAAGGUGGGGAUGACGUCAAAUCAUCAUGCCCCUUAUGUCUUGGGCUUCACGCAUGCUACAAUGGCCGAUACAAAGGGCUGCAAUACCGUAAGGUGGAGCGAAUCCCAAAAAGUCGGUCUCAGUUCGGAUUGAGGUCUGCAACUCGACCUCAUGAAGUCGGAGUCGCUAGUAAUCGCAGAUCAGCAACGCUGCGGUGAAUACGUUCCCGGGCCUUGUACACACCGCCCGUCAAGUCAUGAAAGUCGGUAACACCCGAAGCCAGUGGCCUAACCGCAAGGAAGGA
rnacentral:rRNA from 1 species